rnacentral:misc_RNA from 1 species
GAUGAAGAACGCAGCGAAAUGCGAUAAGUAGUGUGAAUUGCAGAAUUCAGUGAAUCAUCGAAUCUUUGAACGCACAUUGCGCCUCCUGGUAUUCCGGGAGGCAUGCCUGUUCGAGCGUCAUUAAAAUCACUCAAGCUUAGGUUUACCUAUUGCUUGGUCUUGGAGAUGGAAGCCAAUUCAUUGGAAUCCUCUUCGAAAUCCAAUGGCGAAGACCCUUGCUCUCCCAAGUGUAGUAAUAACUUAUUUCACUGAAGGAAGCGAGAAAUCUUCCGCCGUAACCCCCAUAUUUUCUAUGAUUGACCUCGGAUCAGGUAGGGAUACCCGCUGAACUUAAGCAUAUCAAUAAGCGGAGGA